CACAAUAUCUCAGGAGUGUGGGAUGAGGAUACAGCAACUGCCAGGGUGGGGCACUCUGAGUGUUCUCAAUGGAUUGUUAUGUCCUUGGUUUUUAAUUUGGGGAGGGGUCAAAAUGUUGCCUGUUGUCUUGUAUGUGCUGCCUACAACCCAUUUGGAAUAUAGAGGGCAGAAGGGGGGACUCUGCAGCCCCUCCAGACAUCCCUGCUACGAAGGUGGAAUAUCUUGAUUGUGCGUGGAUUUCGUUAUCACCCAGCCUCAGAAAACAGAUCAGAGUUGUCCUCCCCAAGAGGAGUAGGC
rnacentral:lncRNA from 1 species